UACGUAGGGGGCAAGCGUUGUCCGGAAUCAUUGGGCGUAAAGAGCGUGUAGGCGGCCAGAUAAGUCCGCUGUGAAAUCUCGAGGCUCAACUUCGAGCUGUCGGUGGAAACUGUCUGGCUAGAGUCCGGAAGAGGAGAAUGGAAUUCCUGGUGUAGCGGUGAAAUGCGCAGAUAUCAGGAAGAACACCCGUGGCGAAGGCGGCUCACUGGUCCGGUACUGACGCUGAGGUGCGAAAGCGUGGGGAGCAAACAGG
rnacentral:rRNA from 1 species